rnacentral:tRNA from 1 species
AAGACAUUAGUUAAACAAGUGAUAACACCGCCUUGUCAAGGCCGAAUCGUGGGUUAAAACCCCGCAUGUCUUG